AUUGAACGCUGGCGGCAGGCCUAACACAUGCAAGUCGAGCGGAGCGGCGGACGGGUGAGUAAUGUAUGGGGAUCUGCCCGAUAGAGGGGGAUAACUACUGGAAACGGUGGCUAAUACCGCUUACUAUCGUAUGAACCCAUAUGGGUGUAGCUAGUAGGGGGGGUAAAGGCUCACCAAGGCGACGAUCUCUAGCUGGUCUGAGAGGAGUAUCAGCCACACUGGAACUGAGACACGGUCCAGACUCCUACGGGAGGCAGCAGUGGGGAAUAUUAGACAAUGGGCGAAAGUCUGAUCCAGCCAUGCCGCGUGUGUGAAGAAGGUCUUCGGAUUGUAAAGCACUGUAGGUAGGGAGGCGUUACCUACAGAAUAAGCACCGGCUAACUUCGUGCCAGCAGCCGCGGUAAUAC
rnacentral:rRNA from 1 species